AAAGAGGCAAAAUGAUAUUCUCGUCCCGAGAUUGAAUGCCCUUUUUCAUGCAUGACAAUACCUUACUGGCCUUGGCCACUGCUUGACAUUGCACAUUGUUGCAUAGUUUGUUGUCUAUAACAAUUCCCAAGUCCUUUUCGUGUGUUAUCCCUAAUUCGCUUCCAUUAAGGGUAUACGUUGCUUGUGUAUUCUUUACUUCGAAAUGCAUAACUUUGCAUUUUUCAACAUUAAAUUUCGUCUGACAUUUGAGUGCCCAGUCCCCCAGUCUAUCUAAAUCCCUCUGCAGCAAAGUAAUAUCUUGCUCACAUUGUAUUAUUUUACAAAGUUUUGUGUCAUCUGCAAACACUGAAACAUGAC